rnacentral:lncRNA from 1 species
UAGCUUUCUCUUCAUUACCACAGAAAGUUGUCUGCAAGUAAAGACCUCCUUGUUAGCUCACAUAGUA